rnacentral:rRNA from 1 species
GAUGAACGCUGGCGGCGUGCUUAACACAUGCAAGUCGAACGGAAAGGCUCCUGCUUGCAGGGGUACUCGAGUGGCGAACGGGUGAGUAACACGUGGGUGAUCUGCCCUGCACUUCGGGAUAAGCCUGGGAAACCGGGUCUAAUACCGGAUAGGACGAUGGUUUGGAUGCCAUUGUGGAAAGUUUUUCGGUGUGGGAUGAGCUCGCGGCCUAUCAGCUUGUUGGUGGGGUAAUGGCCUACCAAGGCGUCGACGGGUAGCCGGCCUGAGAGGGUGUACGGCCACAUUGGGACUGAGAUACGGCCCAGACUCCUACGGGAGGCAGCAGUGGGGAAUAUUGCACAAUGGGCGCAAGCCUGAUGCAGCGACGCCGCGUGGGGGAUGACGGCCUUCGGGUUGUAAACUCCUUUCGCUAGGGACGAAGCGCAAGUGACGGUACCUGGAGAAGAAGCACCGGCUAACUACGUG